GGGGAAUAUUGGACAAUGGGCGCAAGCCUGAUCCAGCCAUGCCGCGUGAGUGAUGAAGGCCUUAGGGUUGUAAAGCUCUUUUGGCGGGGACGAUAAUGACGGUACCCGCAGAAUAAGUCCCGGCUAACUUCGUGCCAGCAGCCGCGGUAAUACGAAGGGGACUAGCGUUGUUCGGAAUCACUGGGCGUAAAGCGCACGUAGGCGGAUUUGUAAGUCAGGGGUGAAAUCCCGGGGCUCAACCUCGGAACUGCCUUUGAUACUGCGAAUCUUGAGUCCGAUAGAGGUGGGUGGAAUUCCUAGUGUAGAGGUGAAAUUCGUAGAUAUUAGGAAGAACACCAGUGGCGAAGGCGGCCCACUGGAUCGGUACUGACGCUGAGGUGCGAAAGCGUGGGGAGCAAAC
rnacentral:rRNA from 1 species